GGAACGUUGCGUGGGUUGUGGUGUUAGGACAGCCCGGGGAGAGGCGUGGGGUGGGCUGUGAGGAACGACGGCUGGAUGGGCGGCUGACAGGCCUACGAGACUUGCCCCACGGCUGAGGCACAGCCUGCCCCGGGACAUCAAGUAAACCUGCCGCAGGGGUGCGACAGGACUCGGAUCUGGCAGCGCUGACAGACCCCAGGGCCUAGAAACCCAACCACGAGGCCCGGAAACAUCAGGAUGGAUUCAACAGGACGAUUUGGACUAAAUCCCAGAAAUUUCACUCAAGGAGGACUCAAAGCAGAUGCCAGGAAAACCUUUGCUCGAGUGCUUCCCAUUGUUUUCUUAUUCCCAUGGGAAUCCUAAGGGUCAAGAUGGAUCAUGAAAUGAUGCAAGAAGCCAGAGCAAAAAACAGGUCCAUGAGGACACUUUAUUCAAUAUUUUUCACUUGUUCAGUUGAAUGUAUUUGUGGAGUUAAUAAUAAAUAUAAAAUAUAAAUAAAAGGAAGUAUCAUGCUUGCAAGAAUAAGCGACAAACUUGUGUACUUAGCAUAGAAUGAAUCAAUAGUCUUCUCAUGGUAAGAAGAGAUUCAUAUAAACUAGGAGUUUGUCUCCAAUUAGAAUAACCUAAUGGCUAAUACCAAUGAUAAGCACACAUUAAAGAUAAAUAGGGAAAAAAUAUUCAGCAUUUGCAAUGUCAGGAUCCAUUAUCACAUCCUGAACUACAUAUUCUGUGUACAUACCUGUGGACACAUGAUAACCUCUUUAUUGAGUGGUAUUGGGAAUAAAAUGUUUUGGGAAUUAACCUCAUUGUAUAGAUACUCCAUAAUAAAGUGAGCCAGGUAUUUGAGGGACAGUUGGGCAUCAGUACUGUUGACAAACUGAUAAUACCUAUAUUGAGAAAAAUUACAUUAGUCUGCUACAUCUCCAAAGAGAUGCUAAGAGUCUAAAAUUGAGAAUUUGUCUCCUUUGCAUUACAUAUCUAACGUCUUCCUAAGAAGCCAAGGUAGACGAAAGGAAAGGGAAGGGGAAGGGGAAGAUUUAAGUAGGUGGAUGGUGUUUGAAAUUUACAAGACCCUCAGAUUUCAGACACUUUUUCCACUUGCCAGCAAGUGCUAAAGAACUAGUUAACAGUGGUUACUGGAAGACCACAUUAGCAGCUCCUAAACAGAGGUAUACCAUGAUGGUAUUUAGAUAGACACUGGAGAUUUUUCUGUUGUUGUUUUCAAUUAUUAUUAUGUAUUUAACUAGUAGUAUUAGGAUUCUUGACAUUCUGUAUAUUCUAGUACCUCAUUUUAAGGUUCACCCAGAAAAAUGAACUGUUAGCUCAUCAUCUACAUAUCAUAUCUUUGUUUUAAGACAGGUUAAGGUAAAAGUUUGUAAAAUGUUUAAUAACAAAAUAGAUAACUGCUUCCACAGUAAUACUUGCUCUGGACUGUGGACUUACUUUAUCCCUUUGGAAGUAUUAAUGUCCUUUUUUCAAGUCUGCCACUGUCAUUAUGUGUGCCUCACAGAACUGUUAAACUACUAAGGAACAAAAAACUCUUUCCAGCUUAACAAGACAAUGUGAAAAUCUUUGUGUGAAGUUGUUUUCAUACACUGAGUUUUGUAUUUCAUAAAAAUAUGAUUACUCUAUACAGACACAUUCAUAGGUUCAAUGUGUGACUGGUUCUUAAUGGAAGCCAACCUAGAAAGCAAUCAGAUGCUUUAGGGUGAGUAUGGAUCUGUCCUAACUGACCUGUCUUUGAGGUACAUGAGACCAACAGGAUGUCUGUCUUGGGUUGUCAGAUCAAGCGUCCAACUACCCUAAUAUCUUGUCUCCAUUGGUGCCUGUAAACACAAAUUUAGGGAAGAACAAGUCCAGGGCAAGUGUUUAUGAUUCUUCCCUGCAGUACUCUCAGGAUCCAAUUGUUUUCAGCUCAGGGACUUUCUGAGCCAGAUCUGGUUUCUAUGUGUGCCAUAGUCCUCAACAGACUUUUUUUUCCAUGAGCUUGUUUUUGUCUUCCCUUAAAAACUUGACACCAUGACAGAUGGCCAGCUGUCUCUUCAGAUUAUGUGCAUACUUCUCAGAAGACAGUGAAUCCUUGAGACGAAUAACAUCCAUUGAUCAAUGCUCAAGAACCCCCAAAAGUGAAGAAAAUUAUGAGUGUGGCACCAUUCUUGAAAUCCUGCCACUGUGUGGAGCAGUUCCAGCUGCAAGGUGUCUGCUCAGGAAGCCUGGAAACAGUGGAGUUGAGAGACCAGAACAUUUGGUGGUUAAACACAGAAAAUGGGUAUGUGAAAACAGAAACAUGGUUUCUGGCUGUGCUUUUCUGUUGUAGAGCAAUUCCACCCAUUCAGCUUUGGCCACGAAAUGCACGUGCAGCCUGAGCACAAGCUGAUGGACUAUAUCGUAAAGAAGUGACUGCUAAGCGUGUAUUAGUAGCUACCAUGAAUGUUUUAUUGGCAUUCUAACAAUAUACA